CAACGACAGCAAGAACAUCAACAAAAAGAAAGGCAGAGACAUAAAUAUCCACCAGAUUCAAUGAUUUCACCAUUAUUUCUGUUUUAUAUCUUUUUCAUUUUAUUUGCUAUUAAUA
rnacentral:ribozyme from 13 species